GGAGUUAAGGUUUGUUUGUCAGCUGAUUUUGAGAUGGGGAGAUUAUCCUGGGUUAUCCAGAUGGGCCCAAUGUAAUCAAGGGUCCUGAAAAGUGGGAGAAGAAGGCAGAAGAGUCAGAGAGAGUAUGUGAUGUGAGAAAAACUCAACCAGCCAUUACUGGCUCUAAAGAUGGAGGGAGGGGCCACGAGCCAAGGAACGGAGGCAGCCUCUAGAAGCUGGAAAAGGCCAGGACAAGGAUUCUCCCCUCCGACUUCUAGGAAGAAAUGCAGCCCUACCAACACUUUGAUUUUAGCCCCAGGAAGCCCAUCUUGGACUCUUGAUCUCCAGAACUGUAAGGAGAAAAUCGAAGCUCCAAGAGGCUAAAUAAUUGCUGAAGUCACAUGGUCAAUAAUUGAGGGGUCCAGGACCUGUGCCCAGGUGCCUAAAGAAGUUAAGGAUACUUUGUUUCCACAGCAGUCUGAAGUCAUGAGCUCUUCUGAAAGCAUAUAGGCUAAUUCCUCCAGUAAAAAAAGAUUAGAAAUGUAUCUUUUAUAUAUCAAAAUAUCUCCAUAAUGGCUCUUGCAAUUCCAAGUCUUCCUUAAUGAACUGUUGCCAGUUAUCAGGGUAGUCACAGGAUUACUUUGAGAAGACGUGUAGGAAGCAGAUGUUCUGUUGGAGGAGGUUGUGGCUUUGAUGCAGACAAAUUCACGAUGAACACAAAUGAGGCUAUACGCUGUUGAAAGUCUAAACUGGUGAGUGCUGUCUUGGAUCUUUGAAGAAUACAAGUUAGGAAGAAGCCAUAUGAUACACAACGUGACAAACUGACUUCAGAAUAUGUAGUUAGCAAAGUGAUCUUCUUUCAUAAAUUGAUAAGGCAAGGAAUGUCCCCACAUAGACUUGGUUGAUGGUGUGGGUGGCAAAAGAGACCCAAGCAUUACUGACCAGUCACCUUUGCACAAAUUGGUUGUCAUUCUUGCAGACCGCCAAAUAUCAGUCCAUGGGAUUCACUUGAUUGGAGGGUUAUUUGCCCUAAGCCCCCAUCUCCCCUUAUGGGGCAAUCUCUUGUACACUCAACAGACAUAAUACAGAACAAAAUGGAAACACACGAGUCAAGACUUGGUACAGAAAGAGGAAGAAAAAUUGAAAGUGAAGCAAGCAGUAGAAGAAUGAGAAGAUGAACUAUGACUAUGUUUACCAAAUGUUGCACUCUCACAAAAAAAAAUUCCUUUCUUCAAAGACAUACUUUUUAAAUAAAUUGUAGAAUAGCCAAAUAAGUUCAACAAAGCAAGUUCAAUGAAACAAGUCAGAUCUGAUAUCACUGUUUAGAGACUCGUGGGCAGCAGUUCAAAAGGCCUAUGAGAGUGUGGGGAUCAAGAGGCCAUCUUAGUUCUCCUAUUAUUCUAGGGUUCCUGGAAUGACACCAAGAGAGGCUCUUCAAAGGAAUCUGGUGGAACCUCCACUUGUCAAGGGAAGAAAUUUCCGUGCAAUGUCUAAAGAAACUCAGUUGUUAUAUAUUUCUUAUUUGCUUAAGAAAGGCAGGUAAAUGUUUGUUAAACCCAACCUCUCCAACUGGGAUUAGCAGAUUUUGAAUCUGGCAUGGUUAAGAAUUGGCAGACCCUUAGAUGUAAAAGUGGGACAUUGUUGAGUGGCUAUUUAAACUCAGUUGACUUUCUUACCCUUCACCCUCAUUAAUUUCCAAUCCACUCCAGUUUCUCCACCAGCUAGAUUCUUUCAGGGUAAGUCAACAAGAUGCUUCCACGUUACUCUUCCCAAGUCACCUAUUUGACCUGUCUGUGGUUUGCUGAAAUGUUUCCCAUGAUGCUCAGUGUCCAUGGAAUAAAUGUGUCCAAGUUCCUCCAAACAUUCUACAUCUGACUCAUGCUGCCUUCCUUUCCCUGCCACUUGCCUGAUUCCUCUCCAGGUGCUUCACACACCGGUCAGUGAGUUGUUUAUAAGUAAACUGAGCAUCCUUUAUACUUUAUCAUGUGUGUCCUUUCGCUUGUGUUCUUCUUUCCACCUGAAAUGUUCAACACCCUCAACUCCAUUUAGAUAACAUACACCUGUUCCUUCUGACUCCAGUCAAAAGUGUUCUCUGAUUAUUGACCUUGACAGGAGCAUAUAAUAUCCAUUCUUGCCCCUGAGUUGUAAGUAUAACUUGGUAUAUGGGGAGGAAGCAAAAACCUGCAUUUCUCAGUUGCUGACUGUGCCCUUGGGUGAUUUCAUUUUACACCUUCAUUGGUAAAU
ensembl:lncRNA